rnacentral:rRNA from 1 species
AGAGUUUGAUCAUGGCUCAGAACGAACGCUGGCGGCAUGCCUAACACAUGCAAGUCGAACGAGACCUCCGGGUCUAGUGGCGCACGGGUGCGUAACGCGUGGGAACCUGCCUUAGGUUCGGAAUAACUCAGAGAAAUUUGAGCUAAUACCGGAUAAUGUCUUCGGACCAAAGAUUUAUCGCCUUUAGAUGGGCCCGCGUUGGAUUAGCUAGUUGGUGGGGUAAAGGCCUACCAAGGCGACGAUCCAUAGCUGGUCUGAGAGGAUGAUCAGCCACACUGGGACUGAGACACGGCCCAGACUCCUACGGGAGGCAGCAGUGGGGAAUAUUGGACAAUGGGCGAAAGCCUGAUCCAGCAAUGCCGCGUGAGUGAUGAAGGCCUUAGGGUUGUAAAGCUCUUUUACCCGAGAUGAUAAUGACAGUAUCGGGAGAAUAAGCUCCGGCUAACUCCGUG